AUUGAACGCUGGCGGCAGGCCUAACACAUGCAAGUCGAGCGGAUGAAGGGAGCUUGCUCCUGGAUUCAGCGGCGGACGGGUGAGUAAUGCCUAGGAAUCUGCCUGGUAGUGGGGGAUAACGUCCGGAAACGGGCGCUAAUACCGCAUACGUCCUGAGGGAGAAAGUGGGGGAUCUUCGGACCUCACGCUAUCAGAUGAGCCUAGGUCGGAUUAGCUAGUUGGUGGGGUAAAGGCCUACCAAGGCGACGAUCUGUAACUGGUCUGAGAGGAUGAUCAGUCACACUGGAACUGAGACACGGUCCAGACUCCUACGGGAGGCAGCAGUGGGGAAUAUUGGACAAUGGGCGAAAGCCUGAUCCAGCCAUGCCGCGUGUGUGAAGAAGGUCUUCGGAUUGUAAAGCACUUUAAGUUGGGAGGAAGGGCAGUAAGUUAAUACCCUGCUGUUUUGACGUUACCAACAGAAUAAGCACCGGCUAACUUCGUG
rnacentral:rRNA from 1 species